rnacentral:rRNA from 1 species
ACAAAAACAUCUUUUCUUGUUAGUUUCUGAAGUAUGGCCUGCCCGCUGACGUAUUUUGAGUUGAAGGGCCGCGGUAUUUUGACCGUGCAAAGGUAGCAUAGUCAUUAGUUCUUUAAUUGUGAUCUGGUAUGAAUGGCUUGACGAGACAUGGGCUGUCUUGGGUGUGAAUUUGUUGUUGAAUUUGGAGUUUAAGUUAAAAUUCUUAGAUGUUUUUAUGGGACGAGAAGACCCUAUAGAGUUUGACAUUUGAUUGCGUAUUUCUUGUUGUUUGUUUUGAAUUUUUGUGCAUCUCUUGUUUUGUUGGGGUGAUGGGAGGAAUUUAUUUAACUCCUCUUUUAUGUGGUAUAUUGAUUUGUAAUUGUUUUGAUCCAUUUAUUUUGAUUGUAAGAUUAAAUUACCUUAGGGAUAACCAGCGUAAA